rnacentral:rRNA from 1 species
GAUCCUGGCUCAGAUUGAACGCUGGCGGCAGGCCUAACACAUGCAAGUCGAGCGGUAGCACAGAGAGCUUGCUCUCGGGUGACGAGCGGCGGACGGGUGAGUAAUGUCUGGGAAACUGCCUGAUGGAGGGGGGAUAACUACUGGAAACGGUAGCUAAUACCGCAUAAUGUCGCAAGACCAAAGUGGGGGACCUUCGGGCCUCAUGCCAUCAGAUGUGCCCAGAUGGGAUUAG